rnacentral:rRNA from 1 species
UACAGAGGGUGCAAGCGUUGUCCGGAAUUAUUGGGCGUAAAGCGCGUGUAGGCGGCUUUGCAAGUCGGGUGUGAAAGCCCUCAGCUUAACUGAGGAAGUGCGCCCGAAACUGCUUGGCUUGAGUACCGGAGAGGAUGGCGGAAUUCCCCAAGUAGAGGUGAAAUUCGUAGAUAUGGGGAGGAACACCGGUGGCGAAGGCGGCCAUCUGGACGGAUACUGACGCUGAGACGCGAAAGCGUGGGUAGCAAACAGG